rnacentral:rRNA from 1 species
GGGAUUGCCUCAGUAACGGCGAGUGAAGCGGCAAGAGCUCAAAUUUGAAAGCUGGCCCCUCCGGGGUCCGCAUUGUAAUUUGCAGAGGAUGCUUCGGGCUCAGCCCCCGUCUAAGUGCCCUGGAACGGGCCGUCGGAGAGGGUGAGAAUCCCGUCUGGGACGGGGUGCCUGGGUCCAUGUGAAGCUCCUUCGACGAGUCGAGUUGUUUGGGAAUGCAGCUCUAAAUGGGUGGUAAAUUUCAUCUAAAGCUAAAUACUGGCCGGAGACCGAUAGCGCACAAGUAGAGUGAUCGAAAGAUGAAAAGCACUUUGAAAAGAGAGUUAAACAGCACGUGAAAUUGUUGAAAGGGAAGCGCUUGCGAUCAGACUCGCCUGCGGGGUUCAGCCGGCAUUCGUGCCGGUGUACUUCCCCGUGGGCGGGCCAGCGUCGGUUCGGGUGGCCGGUCAAAGGCCCCGGGAAUGUGUCGCCCUCCGGGGCGUCUUAUAGCCCGGGGUGCCAUGCGGCCUACCUGGACCGAGGAACGCGCUUCGGCUCGGACGCUGGCGUAAUGGUCGUAAGCGACCCGUCUUGAAACACGGACCAAGGAGUCUAACAUCUACGCGAGUGUUUGGGUGGCAAACCCAUACGCGCAGUGAAAGCGAACGGAGGUGGGAACCCUUCGGGGCGCACCAUCGACCGAUCCUGAUGUCUUCGGAUGGAUUUGAGUAAGAGCGUAGCUGUGGGGACCCGAAAGAUGGUGAACUAUGCCUGAAUAGGGCGAAGCCAGAGGAAACUCUGGUGGAGGCUCGCAGCGGUUCUGACGUGCAAAUCGAUCGUCAAAUUUGGGUAUAGGG